rnacentral:rRNA from 1 species
GAUGAACGCUAGCGGCAGGCCUAACACAUGCAAGUCGAGGGAGAGGUUACCUUCGGGUAACCAAAACCGGCGCACGGGUGCGUAACGCGUAUACAAUCUGCCUUUCACAUAGGGAUAGCCCGAAGAAAUUUGGAUUAAUACCUAAUGGUAUAUAAAAGCGGCAUCGUUUUUAUAUUAAAGCUACGGUAGUGAAAGAUGAGUAUGCGUUCUAUUAGCUAGUUGGAGAGGUAACGGCUCCCCAAGGCGACGAUAGAUAGGGGUUCUGAGAGGGAUGUCCCCCACACUGGUACUGAGAUACGGACCAGACUCCUACGUGAGGCAGCAGUGAGGAAUAUUGGACAAUGGUCGGAAGACUGAUCCAGCCAUGCCGCGUGCAGGAUGCAGGUCCUAUGGAUUGUAAACUGCUUUUGUACGGGAAGACUAAGAGCUACGUGUAGUUUGAUGACGGUACCUUACGAAUAAGCAUCGGCUAACUCCGUG